GUGGCUCGUGCUACCUAUCGUCUCUGUUGAUGCUGCCUGGAUGAUGGGACGUCGUCAUCAUGGUCAGCCGUGUGGGCUUUGCUGGUACGAGUGAGAGAACAUGGUCCCGGGCUCUUAUACGAGAACGAGCUGUGAUAUGGCUUUGCCCCCAUCGCCACUCAAUUGGCGCCUGCCGAAUGAAUGCUUGUGCAGACCGGU
rnacentral:lncRNA from 1 species